rnacentral:rRNA from 1 species
AGCAGUCGCCAGGUAAUACGUAGGGUGCAAGCGUUAAUCGGAAUUACUGGGCGUAAAGCGUGCGCAGGCGGUUCGGAAAGAAAGAUGUGAAAUCCCAGAGCUUAACUUUGGAACUGCAUUUUUAACUACCGGGCUAGAGUGUGUCAGAGGGGGGUGGAAUUCCACGUGUAGCAGUGAAAUGCGUAGAUAUGUGGAGGAACACCGAUGGCGAAGGCAGCCCCCUGGGAUAACACUGACGCUCAUGCACGAAAGCGUGGGGAGCAAACAGGAUUAGAUACCCCCGUAGUCCCUGUCUCUUAUACA